GCAGUGGGGAAUAUUGCACAAUGGGCGAAANCCUGAUGCAGCGACGCCGCGUGAGGGAUGACGGCCUUCGGGUUGUAAACCUCUUUCAGCAGGGAAGAAGCGAAAGUGACGGUNCCUGCAGAAGAAGCGCCGGCUAACUACGUUCCAGCAGCCGCGGUAAUACGUAGGGCGCAAGCGUUGUCCGGAAUUAUUGGGCGUAAAGAGCUCGUAGGCGGCUUGUCACGUCGGAUGUGAAAGCCCGAGGCUUAACCUCGGGUCUGCAUUCGAUACGGGCUAGCUAGAGUGUGGUAGGGGAGAUCGGAAUUCCUGGUGUAGCGGUGAAAUGCGCAGAUAUCAGGAGGAACACCGGUGGCGAAGGCGGAUCUCUGGGCCAUUACUGACGCUGAGGAGCGAAAGCGUGGGGAGCGAACAGGAUUAGAUACCCUGGUAGUCCACGCCGUAAACGUUGGGAACUAGGUGUUGGCGACAUUCCACGUCGUCGGUGCCGCAGCUAACGCAUUAAGUUCCCCGCCUGGGGAGUACGGCCGCAAGGCUAAAACUCAAAGGAAUUGACGGGGGCCCGCACAAGCAGCGGAGCAUGUGGCUUAAUUCGACGCAACGCGAAGAAC
rnacentral:rRNA from 1 species